CUAAGUUUGAUGGCGACUGGCGCACGGGUGAGUAACACGUAUCCAACCUGCCGAUGACUCGGGGAUAGCCUUUCGAAAGAAAGAUUAAUACCCGAUGGCAUAGUUCUUCCGCAUGGUGGAACUAUUAAAGAAUUUCGGUCAUCGAUGGGGAUGCGUUCCAUUAGGUUGUUGGCGGGGUAACGGCCCACCAAGCCUUCGAUGGAUAGGGGUUCUGAGAGGAAGGUCCCCCACAUUGGAACUGAGACACGGUCCAAACUCCUACGGGAGGCAGCAUG
rnacentral:rRNA from 1 species